rnacentral:tRNA from 1 species
GGGCCAGUAGCUCAGUUGGUAGAGCAUCUGAAUGGCAUUCAGAAGGUCUGGGGUUCGACUCCCCACUGGUCCACCA